rnacentral:rRNA from 1 species
CUCGUAGGCGGUUCGUCGCGUCCGGUGUGAAAGUCCAUCGCUUAACGGUGGAUCCGCGCCGGGUACGGGCGGGCUUGAGUGCGGUAGAGGAGACUGGAAUUCCCGGUGUAACGGUGGAAUGUGUAGAUAUCGGGAAGAACACCAAUGGCGAAGGCAGGUCUCUGGGCCGUUACUAACGCUGAGGAGCGAAAGCGUGGGGAGCGAACA